GCUCAGAACUAAAGGAAUUGACGGGGCCGCACAAGCGGAGGAGCAUGUGGUUAAUUCGAUGAUACGCGAGGAACCUUACCUGGGCUCGAACGUAAGAUGACUGUAGGUGAAAGCUUACAUCUCUUCGGAGCAUUUUACGAGGUGCUGCAUGGUUGUCGUCAGCUCGUGCCGUGAGGUGUCGGGUUAAGUCCCAUAACGAGCGCAACCCCUACCUUUAGUUGCCAUCAGGUUAAGCUGGGGACUCUAAAGGAACUGCCUACGCAAGUAGUGAGGAAGGCGGGGAUGACGUCAAAUCAGCACGGCCCUUACGUCCAGGGCUACACACGUGCUACAAUGGCCGAUACAGAGGGCAGCUACCUGGUGACAGGAUGCAAAUCUCCAAAGUCGGUCUCAGUUCGGAUCGGAGUCUGCAACCCGACUCCGUGAAGUUGGAUUCGCUAGUAAUCGCGCAUCAGCCAUGGCGCGGUGAAUACGUUCCCGGGCCUU
rnacentral:rRNA from 1 species